UGGAGGAGAGACCCAAAGGACCUGGUAUUUGCCUUGGUGGAGACAGCCAUCCCCCCACCUGUCACCGAAGCUUUCCAGCAAACUCCUCCCCAGCUGGGUCUGUCUCUCCAGCAGAAGUUAUUUGUUGGUUCCUGGUUUGUCAGAAGAGCAAGGAGCAGAGUUCUUUCCUUUGGACCCGCUGGUAGUACUUUGGAGAGCAGUAGCAAUGGGGAGAUGGGAGCAUCGGGGAGGACGGAGCAGGUCUGUCGUGACAGACCCUCUCUAAAGCACCGACCCUUCUUCCAGCCUGGCCUGGGGAGCUGGGACUGACCCACCCGCUCCGCGCUGGGGCGGAGGGGCUGCACCAGGCGCUCCAGGGCUCUUACUCCGAACCGGGGAAGGGGCACCCGGCAAUGCCACCGCGUCAGUAUCGGGGAUGAUUGCUAUCGAUGGCCAGCUAUUGUAAAUUGAGACCCUCUCCAUCCUCCCUCUGCCUCCAGCGGGAAAUCCCCAAGCUCUAGAGGAGGGGUGGAAGGGCCUGCUGAUCAGGCUCAGAGAUCCAGGUCUCCUGGAGAAACCUCCUCUGGCAAGGGCUGGGACCCAAGGACAGCCCCCACCCCCCCGGGGAGUGCCAGCUGAGCCUGUCUCCAAAGGACGGGACAGCACCCCCUUGCCUUGUGAUGCGCCGAGCUUCGAGGUGGCUGGGAGAGUCUCUCCGGCGUUUCCUUAGGGGGGAAUAGGAGCGGCGCCGCCGCUGCCGCUGCCGCUCCCGGUGCGACUCCUUCUCGCUGGAGCUGUACUUGUGCUCCCGCUCGCGGUCCCUGCGGAGGCACAGCGGGGGGACUGUCACUGCAGGGGCUUGGGCAUGGGUCAGGGAUGGACAGACAACGACCUACGAAGGCACAGAUGGGCAGAGGAUGCUCAGCUCCAAAAGGGACAACUCUAAGCGCUCUGGUGGCGUCACCUCUGAGAGCUCACACAGCUGGACAAAGAGACUGGCACCACUAAUUGUGUCCAGGGGUUCCAGUGGCUUUGCACUGCCAAGCUAAGAUGGCUUCCAGGGACCUGUGGCAGUGGGUGCAGUCUGUAUUUAGCUCUUGCUGGCCGUGCUGCUGGAGCUGGCAGGAACAGCCAUGCCAGCAGGCCCCACGUGAGCUGAGGGCCUGGUAGCCCUGCAGGGCUCUGCAAGCCACGCCAGAAGGAGUGCCGGUGUUGCUAUGGUUUUCUCUUUUGUUAAAUUCCCAUACGCGUCAGCACAGGCCCUUCUGUGCAGCGUGGCUGAUUUCAUACACCCUGCUCAGUGCCAUCUGCAAAGCAACACGCUACAGGUCAAGGGCCUGCCUGAUCCCUGCAUGCAGGAAGUGUUCUCCUCACCAGCACAGGGAUUGUCAAAGCCUGCAAGAAUCGACCCUGGCAAUGUACGAUUUUGGGCUGCAAAACGUUCAUAGCAGCACAGGUGCUACCAGGAAAAUCUGCCAAAGGCAUCUCUAGGGUUGAACUGUGAGACUGUUUCCUAUGGUGUGUGGAGGGAGUAGAGGUGCCUGGACUUCAUUUCUCUCUGCCCUGCAAGGCUGUGAGAACCAGCCUCAGGGUAUCUGGCAUCUGCCCUCGCAGCAGGGGCCCUUCCCCGGGCCUGACAGCUCUUUGUAAGAGCUGUGACUCUCAAAAGUAGAGUUGUCUUUCCCUGCUGCAACCAGAUCCUUGUCUGACAGGGGCUGCAGCCCUGAUGCAGGGGCCAGCUGGAGCCUCGGGCUCUGCCCCCCACUCACAGCAGCAUGACAGUGAUGGAGGCAGGGGAAGUGUGGGGCAGCAGGUACCAAUGAGUGGACAGCAGGUGCCACAAGUAGACACUGUACCUGCUACGGCUGUAGCGGGAGUAACUGGGGCUCCGGCGAGGCCUUGAACUUCUACUCCCAGGACUUUUUUUGCAGGAUUUGGAGGAAUAGCUGGGGGAACGUGAGGAAGACCUGAAGACAGGAAAGAAACAUAAAAGAGUUAAAGAUGCUGGAGGGUGAGGCUGUACCAGACCACUCCAAAUGAUGAGGAGGAAGAGAUGUCCCAUUCUCCAGGGUCUCAGCCCAGCUCUGCGUGGCCAGUUGUGGAUCCCAAACUCUUACACCUCCCCCUGCAAGGAGCCUGCCGGCUGGCAAGAACUAGCCACUGCCCCGGGUCACAGAGACAGCCGUUCCAGCUGGCCUUACCUCUUUCCCGAGGAGCAGGACCUGCUUCGGGAGGAGCUGGGCGAGGCCCUGUGGUGCGAGGAGCGGGAGCGGCUGGAGCCGGGGGAGGAGCGGCCCGUGCUGCUGCGGGACGCGCUGCGGGAGCCGGGCCUGCGCGGGGAGCUGCGCGCUGCCGAGGGCAGCAAGGCUCGCUUCUUCUCCUCUGAGGGGCCCAGACAUGAGGGUAGGCACGCUCUGUCAACAGACAUUUGGAUACUUCUUGAAGCUGUGGCUGAACCCCCUGGCCGAGGAGAGCAGCAUGCUCCAGCAAAUAAAUAUUCCCAUCCUUCCAUUCCCUAUCUGGAGGUGAAAAGGACCUCUCAGCUUCCCAGGUUGCUGUUGCAGAAGACCCCAUGUGAGUGUGUCAGAAUCCAAGAGCUCACCCUCCAGGCUCUACCAGGGAGGUGUGGAAGAGCACUGUGGCAACAAGCAGCAGCUCAUCUGCCCCAUGGCCAACACACCAGAGGCGUCAGGCUGGCAGAGCCUGGUUGGGCCAGCAAGCAGUGCUGCUCCUGGGCAGGGGGUGAAGUAAAAAGUUCUGGAGCCUGGGAAAGGCAGAGCAUGGCAGGGCAACGGCUGUGCUCCAGCCUGGCUGUGGAGCAGCAUGAGUGGGCACUGAGCAGGCAUGUCCUGUUGCCUUUGGACAGCGCUGUGUGAAUUCCUCCUCUUCCAGAAGUGCUCUGGAAUGAACUGGGGUCAGAGCCCAACAGCCAGGCAGCCUCCCAGCAGCCAGGGCCAGCUGCAAUCCCAGCUCCACCCAUGUGAAGGCAGAGUUACCCCACUGGAGUCACCAUGUGAAAAGUACAGACAGACCUAAAAUUUUACCCUCUGACUGAAAAAUGAGGCUUGUUCUUACUAAAACCCAUUACCUUCACUGCCUCCUGUCACAUUCAGUGCUCCAAACCAUGUCCUGGCUCUAACUUUCAGCCUUUAGGACCCAAGGGCCUUAGCUGGAAAAGCUCCCUACAACCACUGCCUGAGCACAGCCCUGGGUACCAGCCACCACACUUCAGUGCCCUCAUUCCCAACAUCCCCUGGCAAAAACCCAGGAAUGGGAGGUGGUGACGGAGGCUGGCAGCUACUCCCCUCUCCUGAAGAUGACCUGUGGCACUGGGUGGUGGUUGGAUGCCCUGUGGCCCCAUUGCUGAGCUGCUGCUGUGUUAUCCUGCAGCCAGCCAAGUCCUUGCCCCUCCCUUUGCUCCCCACUGGCGGGAAAUGCUCUCUUGUCACCCUGCAGCUGUGCUGGAUGAGCUGGGAAGAGGAAGAGACAUGCUGGAUUUGGCUCAUUGGACAGGUGAAAGAACAGCCCAUAAUGAUGUUAAUGGAAACAAGCCCCGCUUCCCUUCCCCACAGUAGGCAGAGAGGAAGAAUUAGCAUGGCAACCCCCAGAUGCUCCUUUCAGAUUGUGCCCAGAAGGGCCAGAGACUUUUUUUUUGACAUGGCCAUGCCCAGGUGAGCAGGGAUGUGCUGUGACCACAGCCUGACCCAGGCCCAAACUCUGCAUGAGCCACAGCAAUGCCAAAGUACUGACACAAGCAAUGUCCAGGGAUGUGAUGGCUGGGUUUUAUCUUCCUCCUCAGGCUACAGUACUGGUCCUUGCUGAGUUCUGGACUCCAGACUGGCAAGACCGUGGGUCUGGUUGGUACCUGCCUGCCUCCAGAGCACAGAAAGCUCCCUGCCAGCUCACCACGGCAACUGGCGAGCGGGCAGGAGACACAGAGCAACAACGUACCAGGCAUGGGCUGCCUGCAGCAGCUACUGGUAAUCACUGACCUUCGGUCUUGUCCCUGGGCAUCUGGAGACAGAUUUUCCAAAGCUGUUCCCUUGGUCUGGGAAAAGCAACUGGUGAAGGAAUUUCCUGAAUCAGAGCUGUUAUCGCUGUUGGCCAGUUUGGGCUUCCCGGACGAGAAGGCAUGGCCAAAGCCAUCAUGGACUAGACUUCUUUUCUCCUGGCUGUCCUUUGACCUGGAUGAGCUCGUUUGAGUGGAGGGAGGGGAGGAAGUAUCGUUUCCUGAGUCAUAUUCAUGAUACUCUCCAUUCUGGCUGGCUAGGUUGCCAGGCGGGCAGUCUGUUUUGGUAAAGAGGUCAGCAGAAGACCCUGACUGAGAGAUCUGAAAGCAAAAAAGCCAUUUGGCAUUGUUUGAAUGGUUUUUGGGGGGUUGUUUUUGGUUUUACUUUGCUUUUUUUUUUUUCCAAAUAAACCCAGAAAUUUUACCAUCA